UAUAUUUGCCGACCGAAAGAAAACCUUUCGGUGUACAUAAAAAUCAUUUACAAUAAUAUUAGCAUG
ncrna:unclassified sequences S15-Flavobacteria ribosomal protein leader